rnacentral:rRNA from 1 species
CCUACGGGAGGCUGCAGUGAGGGAUAUUGGUCAAUGGGGGAAACCCUGAAGCAGUAACGCCGCGUGAGGGAAGACGGUUUUCGGAUUGUAAACUCCUUUUGUUAGAGAAGAUAAUGACGGUAUCUAACGAAUAAGCACCGGCUAACUCCGUGCCAGCAGCCGCGGUAAUACGGAGGGUGCAAGCGUUACUCGGAAUCACUGGGCGUAAAGGGCGCGGAGGCGGGGUAGCAAGUCAGAUGUGAAAUCCUAGGGCUUAACCAUAGAACUGCAUUUGAAACUGGUAUGCUAGAGUAUGGGAGAGAUAGGGAGAAUUCUAGGUGUAGGGGUAAAAUCCGUAGAGAUCAAGAGGAAUACUCAUUGCGAAGGCGACCUGCUAGAACAUAACUGACGCUGAUGCGCGAAAGCGUGGGGAGCAAACAGGAUUAGAUACCCCAGUAGUC